AUUGAACGCUGGCGGCAUGCUUUACACAUGCAAGUCGAACGGUAGCAGGGAGCUUGCUCCGCUGACGAGUGGCGAACGGGUGAGUAAUGCGUCGGAACGUGCCGAGUAGUGGGGGAUAACGCAGCGAAAGUUGUGCUAAUACCGCAUACGUACUGAGGUAGAAAGUGGGGGACCUUCGGGCCUCACGCUAUUCGAGCGGCCGACGUCUGAUUAGCUAGUAGGUGAGGUAAAGGCUCACCUAGGCGACGAUCAGUAGCGGGUCUGAGAGGAUGAUCCGCCACACUGGGACUGAGACACGGCCCAGACUCCUACGGGAGGCAGCAGUGGGGAAUUUUGGACAAUGGGCGAAAGCCUGAUCCAGCCAUGCCGCGUGUCUGAAGAAGGCCUUCGGGUUGUAAAGGACUUUUGUCGGGGAGGAAAUCCCCAGCGCUAAUACCGCUGGGGGAUGACAGUACCUGAAGAAUAAGCACCGGCUAACUACGUGCCAGCAGCAGCCGCGGUAA
rnacentral:rRNA from 1 species